rnacentral:rRNA from 1 species
GACGAACGCUGGCGGCGCGCUUAACACAUGCAAGUCGAGCGAAGCGGCGGACGGGUUAGUCACACGUGAGUAACCUGCCUUAGACAUUGGGAUAGCCUCGGGAAACCGGGAUUAAUACCAAAUGGUCUAAGAUGGACUCGCGUCCCAUUAGCUAGUGGGUGAGGUAACGGCCCACCAAGGCGACGUUGGGUAGCCGGCCUGAUAGGGGGAAAGGCCACAUUGGAACUGAGAAACGGGCCAGACGCUCCGGUCGGCAGCAGUGGGGAAGAUUGCACAAUGGAGGUAACUCUGAGGCAGCGACGCCGCGUGAACGAAGAAGUCUUUCGAGUCGUAAAGUUCUUUUAUAUGGGAAGCGGUACCAUAAGAAAAAGCCCCGGCUAACUACGUGCCAGCAGCCGCGGUAAUUC